GAGGGUAUAGCUCAGUGGUAAAGUACAUGCUUAGCAUGCAUGAGGUCCUGGGUUCAAUUCCCAAUACCUCA
rnacentral:tRNA from 1 species